GACGAACGCUGGCGGCGUGCCUAACACAUGCAAGUCGAGCGAGUGAAUCUUCUUCGGGAGUGAAGCUAGCGGCGGACGGGUGAGUAACACGUGGGCAACCUACCUCAUAGAGGGGAAUAGCCUUCCGAAAGGAAGAUUAAUACCGCAUAAGAUUGUAGCUUCGCAUGAAGUAGCAAUUAAAGGAGCAAUCUGCUAUGAGAUGGGCCCGCGGCGCAUUAGCUAGUUGGUGAGGUAACGGCUCACCAAGGCGACGAUGCGUAGCCGACCUGAGAGGGUGAUCGGCCACAUUGGGACUGAGACACGGCCCAGACUCCUACGGGAGGCAGCAGUGGGGAAUAUUGCACAAUGGGGGAAACCCUGACGCAGCAACGCCGCGUGAGUGAUGACGGCCUUCGGGUUGUAAAGCUCUGUCUUCAGGGACGAUAAUGACGGUACCUGAGGAGGAAGCCACGGCUAACUACGUGCCAGCCGCCGCGGUAA
rnacentral:rRNA from 1 species